rnacentral:rRNA from 1 species
GAUGAACGCUGGCGGCGUGCCUAAUACAUGCAAGUCGAGCGAACAGACGAGGAGCUUGCUCCUUUGACGUUAGCGGCGGACGGGUGAGUAACACGUAGGUAACCUACCUAUAAGACUGGGAUAACUUCGGGAAACCGGAGCUAAUACCGGAUAAUAUUUCGAACCGCAUGGUUCGAUAGUGAAAGAUGGCUUUGCUAUCACUUAUAGAUGGACCUGCGCCGUAUUAGCUAGUUGGUAAGGUAACGGCUUACCAAGGCAACGAUACGUAGCCGACCUGAGAGGGUGAUCGGCCACAGUGGAACUGAGACACGGUCCAGACUCCUACGGGAGGCAGCAGUAGGGAAUCUUCCGCAAUGGGCGAAAGCCUGACGGAGCAACGCCGCGUGAGUGAUGAAGGUCUUCGGAUCGUAAAACUCUGUUAUUAGGGAAGAACAAACGUGUAAGUAACUGUGCACGUCUUGACGGUACCUAAUCAGAAAGCCACGGCUAACUACGUG